AUUGCUUCUGUUUACACUAAUGUAAACAGUGUGUUGAAAAAGGCAAUUCUUGCUGUAUAUAAAUGAAUGUUUCAACUGUUGAACCUAUUUUCAGAGGAAAAGAGAAAGCACAUGUCAGAUAAGGGGCGGAUGGAAAGGAUGGAAAUAUAUAUAACAUGAUAUGUACAACGCAAGGAUCAGUAGAGCCUCUUCCUCUGGAUAUAUAUUUUCUUUUCUUCAGUGCAACAGAACCACUGCAGUGAAUGGUAGCUUGGAUAUCGCUGUAAGAAUACUGCAUUUCAUUAAUCUGAAUAGAAUACGUGAAGACGGCCUGCUGCAUUGAGGCUAUUGAUUGAGACUGAUUGGAAGGUGC